rnacentral:rRNA from 1 species
GAUGAACGCUGGCGGCGUGCCUAAUACAUGCAAGUCGAGCGAACGGACGAGAAGCUUGCUUCUCUGAUGUUAGCGGCGGACGGGUGAGUAACACGUGGAUAACCUACCUAUAAGACUGGGAUAACUUCGGGAAACCGGAGCUAAUACCGGAUAAUAUUUUGAACCGCAUGGUUCAAAAGUGAAAGACGGUCUUGCUGUCACUUAUAGAUGGAUCCGCGCUGCAUUAGCUAGUUGGUAAGGUAACGGCUUACCAAGGCAACGAUGCAUAGCCGACCUGAGAGGGUGAUCGGCCACACUGGAACUGAGCCACGGUCCAGACUCCUACGGGAGGCAGCAGUAGGGAAUCUUCCGCAAUGGGCGAAAGCCUGACGGAGCCACGCCGCGUGAGUGAUGAAGGUCUUCGGAUCGUAAAACUCUGUUAUUAGGGAAGAACAUAUGUGUAAGUAACUGUGCACAUCUUGACGGUACCUAAUCAGAAAGCCCCGGCUAACUACGUG